UACGUAGGAUGCGAGCGUUGUUCGGAAUUACUGGGCGUAAAGAGUAUGUAGGCGGCGAAUUAAGUCAGCUAUUAAAGACCAGGGCUCAACUCUGGGACUGUAGCUGAAACUGAUUUGCUAGAGGCUAAUAGGGGGAGUCGGAAUUCUCAGUGUAGCGGUGAAAUGCGUAGAUAUUGGGAAGAACACCGGUGGCGAAAGCGGACUCCUGGGUUAGUACUGACGCUGAGAUACGAAAGCGUGGGGAGCAAACGGG
rnacentral:misc_RNA from 1 species